ensembl:lncRNA
CACACACACAUACAGCACACACACAUACAGCACACACAUACACACACACACAUACAGCACACACACAUACAGCACACACACAUACAGCACACACACAUACAGCACGGGUUAAAAGGCAGAAAGCGCUGGUUCAAAAUCCAAACGAGUCCAUGUCAGUUUAAUUAGACCUCUGCCAUUUGCCAGGGUCAGAGAGUAAGAGAGGCUAACAGUCAACCAGCUAGACUCAGUCAGAGUGUUAUCCAAGCAGGAAGUCUACUAGAACUCUACAGGAGGAGGGGUACGGCUGGUGGGCUGGCUGGAGGUGGAACUCUACAGGAGGAGGGGUACGGCUGGUGGGCUGGCUGGAGGUGGAACUCUACAGGAGGAGGGGUACGGCUGGUGGGCUGGCUGGAGGUGGAACUCUACAGGAGGAGGGGUACGGCUGGUGGGCUGGCUGGAGGUGGAACUCUACAGGAGGAGGGGUACGGCUGGUGGGCUGGCUGGGGUGGGAACUCUACAGGAGGAGGGGCACGGCUGGUGGGCUGGCUGGAGGUGGAACUCUACAGGAGGAGGGGUACGGCUGGUGGGCUGGCUGGAGGUGGGACUCUACAGGAGGAGGGGUACGGCUGGUGGGCUGGCUGGAGGUGGAACUCUACAGGAGGAGGAGGGGUAUGGGUGUUUAUUUAAAUAUCUCUCUGUCUCGGGAAGUCAUUCAGAGUAUUUAUUUAAACAUGUAUUUCAGACCAGAUAGAUAAUGUGCUGCUCUCAGUUUCAAUGGGAGGAGUCAACAGAGAUUUCACUCACUCACACACCUGCACAUACUCACCACAUCCAACAAACUGGGCAAGGCCUUCGUUCUACAAUCUCCUUUGAACACAGCACUGGACAGGAAGAGGAGUGUCAGGGUGUUGUUGUCAGUUAGUAUGACCGUGUUCCUGUCUGCUACUGUUGACAACCGUUGGAGAUGUUGCUAGGGUAGACAGAUAUAAUCUAACAGACAGUGUGAGGGUGUAGACAGUUGGAGAGAUAGAUAGAGAGGCCAUGUUGCUAGGGUAGACAGAUAUAAUCUAACAGACAGUGUGAGGGUGUAGACAGUUGGAGAGAUAGAUAGAGAGGCCAUGUUGCUAGGGUAGACAGAUAUAAUCUAACAGACAGUGUGAGGGUGUAGACGGAGAGAUGGAUAGAGAGGCCAUGUUGCUAGGGUAGACAGAUAUAAUCUAACAGACAGUGUGAGGGUGUAGACGGAGAGAUGGAUAGAGAGGCCAUGUUGCUAGGGUAGACAGAUAUAAUCUAACAGACAGUGUGAGGGUGUAGACGGAGAGAUAGAUAGAGAGGCCAU